GUGCCCAGGGAGAAGAACCCGUCUCACAGGGGCGGGGGUCUAGGGCCCAGAGCGACGUCCUCCCCCUGGGCAGUACUGAGUCUUCGGUCGCCUCCCUCCCACCCAUCUACCCCUUCUAUAUCCAGGCGCUCCCUCGGGCACAACGGUGCUGACCACCCCUGUCCUCAGCCCUCAGCCCUAGGUGCUCACCGCAACGCCCCUCCCUGUCACGGUGCUGACCUCCGCCCCGCCUUGUUUCCUUCUAGAUCUGAUUCCGGAGCUGCCAUGAUUGAAGUGGUAGCAGAGCUGAGCCGGGGUCCUGUAUUUUUGGCUGGGGAGGCGCUGGAGUGUGUAGUGACCGUCACCAACCCCCUUCCCCCCACGGCCACUUCUGCAUCCAGUGAGGCCCUGGCCUGGGCCAGUGCUCAAAUCCACUGCCAGUUCCAUGCCAGUGAGAGUCGAGUAGCACUGCCUCCCCCUGACUCUAGUCAGCCAGAUGUCCAGCCCGACAGCCAAACUGUCUUUCUGCCACACCGAGGUGAGAGGGGCCAGUGUAUCCUUUCUACUCCACCAAAAAUUCUAUUCUGUGACCUGAGGCUAGAUCCUGGAGAGUCCAAAUCAUACUCCUACAGUGAAGUGCUGCCCAUAGAGGGACCACCCUCCUUUCGGGGUCAGUCAGUCAAGUACGUCUACAAACUGACCAUUGGCUGCCAGCGUGUCAACUCCCCUAUCACUUUACUCAGAGUCCCUCUGAGGGUUCUUGUGCUGACUGGCCUUCAGGAUGUCCGGUUUCCCCAGGAUGAGGCUGUAGCCCCAUCCAGUCCAUUCUUGGAGGAGGAUGAAGGUGGGAAGAAGGAUUCAUGGCUAGCUGAGCUGGCUGGGGAACGCCUAAUGGCUGCCACAUCCUGCCGCAGCCUCCAUCUAUACAAUAUUAGUGAUGGCCGAGGGAAAGUUGGGACAUUCGGCAUCUUCAAAUCUGUGUACAGACUUGGCGAGGACGUGGUGGGGACCUUAAACUUAGGGGAAGGUACCGUAGCUUGUUUGCAGUUUUCAGUCAGCUUACAGACCGAGGAGCGUGUACAGCCUGAGUACCAGCGGCGACGUGGGGCAGGGGGUGUCCCCUCUGUGUCCCAUGUGACUCACGCCCGGCACCAGGAAUCCUGCCUACAUACAACUAGAACCAGCUUCUCCCUCCCAAUCCCUCUCAGCUCCACCCCAGGCUUCUGUACAGCCAUUGUGUCCUUGAAGUGGAGAUUGCAUUUUGAAUUUGUAACGUCCCGAGAACCAGGAUUGGUACUCCUACCCCCUGUGGAACAGCCCGAACCUACCACCUGGACAGGACCUGAGCAAGUACCUGUAGACACCUUCAGCUGGGACCUCCCCAUCAAGGUGCUGCCUACCAGCCCCACCCUGGCCUCAUAUGCUGCCCCAGGCCCCAGCACCAGCACCAUAACCAUCUGAAACUGGCCCACCCUGGUGCUAGUUCCUUCCGGAUACUGAGAACUCAGCACCUGGACUCUAAUGGGACCCACUUUUUCCACCUGGGGUCCAAUGUCGUGGACAGUGAGAGUCAGGCUUUCAGCUAUAGCAUUAAUUUAUUUAUUCAGAAUACAUUGGCAGCUGCUAGUGGUUUCCCUGGAAGUGGCAGCAGCAGUGACCAGUCAGCAGAUGGGUGAUCAGUUGAGUUUAGCUGGAGUGGGGAGCAGAAGCCCCAGGAACAGGGGUGUUGGCUGAGCCCCAUUCUGGGUCAGGCCCUCCCCCUUUGCAGGGCAGCCGAGGGUCAGAUUUUUGCACCAAGGAGAACUGGCAGGUUCCUGCCUCCUGACGUACCUCACACCCAGCCGGGAAGUCGAUGGGAUGCUGGGACCUGGGGAACCAAGGAUGGGGGAAGGAGUCAGCACAGUGAAAGGCUGCCUUUAUCCCUGCCCACAUAUUCCCUCUCUCACAGCUUUCCCCGCUAGAGCCCCUUUCAGUGGCCCCUUGGUCCUCCUAACUAAGCUCUCACCUACCAUACGUGGGCCAUUUUGUUUUAUAACAGGAGUAUUUUCUGUCCAGGUCCACCCCAACCUCCCCUGAUUUAUAGCCUGAAGCCUUAUCUUUCACACUAGUGUUGGUCCCUUCAGGUUUGGCCCAUCUUGUAUUGCUCUUCUGUUCAUUCUUAUAUCACAGCAAUCUAGUCAUUCCCUGGUCAUCCCUCAGUCACUCAUAUCAGAGUCAUUCUCGCUGGCCAUCUUUGGUCACUCACGUGUCACAGCAGCCCACGCCAACAGGAUGCAGACAGGUGCAAUGGAAACAGUCUUUGCGGAGCCAAGACUCGCCCAGGGUGAAAUAUUUCCCCUCAUAGUGACAGGGGGCUAGGGAAGAACAGGAAAUGUUAGUAGGUGUAGGAGUGCUGAUGAGAGGCAGAGGCUCUUCUGGUCUGGGGUGGAGACAGUAAGUACGCACUAUCCCUGUAUUUAGUUUGUCUUUCCUGUUUCACAGCUGGAGGGAGCCUGGGUAUUUUGACACAGGAUCAUCUGUAAGGCCCCAUCCUCCCUGUGCUGUCUCUGCUGCUCUUCCAUUCCUAACGCCUCACCCCACUUUACCUUGAGCUUGGAAGUAGCACUUGCUGUAGACUCCUGGGUGCUGGAGGAGUAGAGACAUCACCAAGCAGAUGAUCCCCCAGCCUCCUAGGAUCCCCUUGGCCUGUCCAGCCCAGAGCAUCCUUAGGGCCAUUGCUGCUGCACAGCCCUCUCGGACCCUUCUUGGCCUCUGCUCAGCUACUCUGGUCUUGACUCCUGGACUUUGCUUUGCGUUGCUCCUUGAGUCUUAGUUUUUCUCUUUCUCCCCUGGGCUCCUGUCUCACACUAUCUCCCUGCCCUCUGCUCUCACAGGCUGGGGACGUUUAUAAAGUGAGGACCCUGGCCCCCUGCUGAGUAGAGCUGGAAAAGCUGUAACUCUGUUUCCUGAGGUGAGGGCAUGAAAACAAGAGGUCUAGCUUUAACAAGCUGUGAGAGCUGAUUCAUGCCCCGGCACAGCUAGAAGGAGGGAGGUGGCCAUGGAGGGGGCACUGGACUGGGCACUUCCCCAGCAAGGAGGCAGGAGGGGUGAGGGCCCCCAGGUGGUCCCCAGAUCUCUUCCCUGACCUGGAGAGAAGGAAGCAUUCCACCUUCCCGCUUUCUCCCCCACUACCACCACCAGGGGUGUGUAUGCUGGGAUCCCUGCCUGGACCGGAGGGAGGCAUUUCCUGGGGAUGGUUAAUCCUGUGCCCCAGCCAAACCCAGGAGCUGCAAUAGGGUGCGACGGCCAGAGGCUCCAGGAGAGUGAGCAGGCACCUAGAGUGGAGACUGUUUCCCUCAGAUCCUAGGGCAGGGUUUCCUUAAUGUAUCCAAGGAAUAGGGCUGCCCCUCAGAGAUGGUGGGGACGGUCUCUUUUCCUCAGGCAUUCCAGAGGUGAACUGUCCAUUGCUUAUCACCUUCAAACAUACAGCAGAUGUGGGAUCACCCCACAUCUGGGGAUGAUUCUUUCCCCUUUCAGAGAGGAGCAUCUCUAAGUGCCCUGAUGGGAUGAAUCACUCCAGGUUCACAGAGGUGUCCUCUCUUUCCUCCCAUAUGUAAUGGAGUGAGGUUUUUAGGAAUUUAUCAUUUGGCAUCCACUGAGUUUCCCACAGGUUCUGGAGGAGCCCAGGAUGGAUUAUUGAGAGCAUAGGCUGUAGAGACAGUCUUCUUGGAUUCAGAUCCUGACUCCACUUAGCUAUGUAACCUGGUCAGAUUACUUCACCUCUCUGAGCCUGUUUCCUCAUCUAUAAAUUGGGGAUAGUAAUGCCAACUCAUUGGGCUGUUAUGAGGAUUAACUGAGAUAAUGCGUGCAGUGCUCUUAUCACCAUCUCUGGUGCGUAAGCGUCAGGAAAUAGCAGUUGCUGUGAUUGGGGCUAAAGCUCGGAGGCAAAAUGGGCGACAUUCUUUUCUUUGAAUGACAUUAAGCAGUUUGUGCAUAACUGAGGGCUUCUACUGGGGAUGGCUGUCUCCUGGCAUAGACCUCUGCACCUUUCACACUCAUGCUCCUUGUCAGCAGUCCCCAACCUUUUUGGUACCAGGGACCGGUUUUGUGGAAAGCAAUUUUUCUACCAGUGGAUGGAGGGGGAUAGCAGCAGGGGGAUGAUUUUGGGAUGAAACUGUCCCAUCUCAGAUCAUCAGGCAUUAGAUUCUCAUAAGGAGCGUGCAACCUAGAUCCCUUGCAUGCGGAGUUCACAGUAGGUUUUGCACUCCUGUGAGAAUCUAAUGCCGCUGCCGAUCUGCCAGGAGGAGGAGCUCAGGCGGUAAUGCUCACUCGCCCGCCGCCCACCUCCUGCUUUGUGCUCCCGCUUCCUAACAGGCCACAGACUGGUACUGGCCUGUGACCUGGGGGUUGGAGACCCCUGCUCCAUGUCACCUUUCCCACCUUUUUCAAAAACAGGUACCUCCAGGAGCAUUUUGGUUUUGGCCCUUGUAUUGACUUCCGAAUGUCUAGUUUGAGAAACUGUUCCCAAUAAGCCUUCUUCCCCCAGAUCUGCACCCUCGCCUCUACCCUAGGACAAGGUGUCCUUUUCUCAUCAUCCUGCCAGGCUAACUUUAAGUCUCCUGCUUUUUCUUACUGGGAUUCGGAUCCAUUUCUUCCCAUCUCCGCUCAUGUGAACUCUCCAGUUCUCCUUUCUCACCACUCUCCUGCUAGCCAUCUCUUUGGCACUAAAGGCCCUGGUCAAAUUGGAUUUCUUUCAUUUUUCCACACUUCAAAGACCCAUGUUCCAGGUGUUCCCCAUAGGGACAGUCUCUUUAUUUGGUUUUUCUAAGUUUUCAGUCCCAUUUACUCCAAGACUCACUCCCUGCCACCUAGUGCAUCAGAUACGGCUACUUCUGGCUGACUUUUCAAGGGGGGCCACCCUACCUGUCAUCUCUUCACUGUUCAGAAAUGACUGUGUCAGUGCACCUCAAACUCCCUUGCUGUCCUCUUCCAAGGAGACAGCUAAGGUGGAUGGAGAUGCAGAAUGGACCUCACGUUCGCCCUAGUCAGGACUGAUACCCUUUCCGUUUCAGAGGAGUGCCAAGAAAAAACUCACAGUUGAAACAGGGUGCUCUGAGUUCGGUUGCGGUGUGGGAGGCACGGCCUGGGCCUGCUCUCUGGGCUGGAGCAGGUGGAUUCGAAGGCCUGUCUAGCACGAGGGCCCAAAGGUCUUGUUAGUGGCCAGUAGCUCUGCCGCCUUUCCCAGAGAGGGGGUCCAGCGGACACCCUGGAAGGCUGGGCCCUGGGCCACCUUCUGCUCAUGCAAGCUAGAGCCAGCCCAAUAGGGGGCGGAUGUGAGUGGGGAGCUGGGGCUCAUGAAGGUGGGGGUGAUGCCGAAGGGGAAGGGAGCCCCAGUGGGGAUUGGUGCGUGUGCGGAAACGGGAACCGAAGUGAGGGUUCAUCGCCUGUAACGAAGAUGAGGUCACUUUGGCACCUGAACACAUCGUGGAGGCUGGACUGGAGGGAAGUGAGACUGGAGAGAACCAGAGAGAACGCAGAGUAAGAACUGGCCACUCUGGGCUCCAUCCCAGGGUCAACAUCCACUUUAGAUGGAGCCAGGGUUCAUGGCUUGCCAGUCUCCACCCAGCUGCUUCUCCCAUUCACAUUUCCUGCCUGGCCCAUGACCACCUUUGCCUUUGCGACCCCUGCCUUUGAUUGUUUUUCGUCUUGGAUAUCCAGUCAGCCACCAAAUCCUGUUGUUUCUUCCCUCAAAUUACCUCAGAUUUGUUCCUCUCUCCAUUACUAUCCCACCAUCCUAGAUUAGACACUUCAGGCUUGGGUUUCUCCAGGAACCUCUUCAUGGUUCUUCUUGCUUUCAGUCUCUCUGCCCACCAAUCUUACGUCGCCACUGCUUAGCUUCUCUUUGUUCUUCAUGACAUACUGCAGUACAGUUUUGUCCAUUUUUGCUUCAGAUUUCUCCUCUUCUUCCCAGUCUUUGGCUUCUGUAGAAAAUUCUAAGCAGAGCAGAAGAUUAAAAUAGUGACUAGUGCAUUUCCAGUCUCUAGAAGCGGUGACAACUAUGUUUACUUUGCCUCUUUUUAUGCCAGAUAUUUGUAGAGUUAGCAGGACUUAAAAGGCAAGGGGACACCUUUCCCUGUUGCCACUUGCCUCGUGCCACUUUUUCCUCAGUGAAAAAUUUUGUGAAGAAGUGGAAUUUGAAAUUGAGUGGGUAAGAGAUUAUUUCAGGGAAUAUUAUAUUUGAGACUUCAUGCUAUCGGAUGAUCCCAAGGGGUGGUAAAUAACUACUGGGGUUGGUAAUAAUGAUGAAGGGUGGUAAUAGGAAAAUACGGAAACAAUCUAUGUACCUAGGAAGAUGGGCCAAGUGUGAGAGAGCAGAGAAGACCUGGGGCCUUCCUGGACACUCACAGAGGUGCUGGUCCAGGCCCUGAUGGAGCAGACAGGUGAAACAUGGUUCACCUGGAGCUUGAAUCAUCAAGGAAAUCAAGAUAGGACAAAAUUCCUUUUCACUACAGUAUUGGGAUCCUGGAACUAGAGUUACCACCCCUCUGCGUUAAAGAAGGAGCUGUCCUGAGGCUUCCAUCUCUACUGGGCUUGAGGCAAGAGCAUUGUCGGGGCGGCCUGUUCUUGGCCUCUGUGCCCCAGGGAUUGCAAAUGUAUGUUCCUCAAAGGUAAGGGCUGUAUCAUUCGGCUUUCUUUGUAUUCACAGGUACAACUUGUGCUGGGCAGCCCGUGUUCAAUAAAUAUCGUGCCUAAGGGUAAA